rnacentral:rRNA from 1 species
AGCAGCCGCGGUAAUUCCAGCUCCAAUAGCGUAUAUUAAAGUUGUUGCAGUUAAAAAGCUCGUAGUUGAAUUUCGGAAUUUGUCGGUUGGUCGGGCUUCACUGUCCGCACUGGCCUGAUGAAUUCCUACCUUCUGAAUAACCAGCAUGCUAUUAAUUUAGUGCGUUGGGGAAGCAGAGCUAUUACCUUGAAAAAUUAGAGUGCUUAAAGCAGGCUCACGCUUGAAUAGAUUAGCAUGGAAUAAUAAAAUAGGACGGCUUGGUUCUAUUUUGUUGGUUUCUAGGAUCACCGUAAUGAUUAAUAGGGAUAGUUGGGGGCAUUAGUAUUCAAUUGUCAGAGGUGAAAUUCUUGGAUUUAUUGAAGACUAACUUCUGCGAAAGCAUUUGCCAAGGAUGUUUUCAUUAAUCAAGAACGAAAGUUAGGGGAUCGAAGACGAUCAGAUACCGUCGUAGUCUUAACCAUAAACUAUGCCGACUAGG